rnacentral:rRNA from 1 species
UGGGGAAUAUUGGGCAAUGGAGGCAACUCUGACCCAGCAACGCCGCGUGAGCGAUGAAGGUCUUCGGAUUGUAAAGCUCUUUAAGUGGGGACGAAGAAAGUGACUGUACCCACAGAAUAAGCCUCGGCUAACUACGUGCCAGCAGCCGCGGUAAUACGUAGGAGGCAAGCGUUAUCCGGAAUGACUGGGCGUAAAGGGUGCGUAGGUGGUUUGACAAGUUGGUAGCGUAACUCCGGGGCUCAACCUCGGAUCUACUACCAAAACUGUUGGGCUUGAGUGCAGGAGGGGUGAAUGGAAUUCCUA